AACGAACGCUGGCGGCAGGCCUAACACAUGCCAGUCGAGCGCGCCUUCGGGUGAGCGGCGGACGGGUGAGUAACGCGUGGGAAUAUGCCCUUCUCUACGGAAUAGUCCUGGGAAACUGGGGGUAAUACCGUAUACGCCCUUUGGGGGAAAGAUUUAUCGGGGAAGGAUUAGCCCGCGUUGGAUUAGGUAGUUGGUGGGGUAAUGGCCUACCAAGCCGACGAUCCAUAGCUGGUUUGAGAGGAUGAUCAGCCACACUGGGACUGAGACACGGCCCAGACUCCUACGGGAGGCAGCAGUGGGGAAUCUUAGACAAUGGGGGCAACCCUGAUCUAGCCAUGCCGCGUGUGUGAUGAAGGCCUUAGGGUUGUAAAGCUCUUUCAGCUGGGAAGAUAAUGACGGUACCAGCAGAAGAAGCCCCGGCUAACUCCGUG
rnacentral:rRNA from 1 species